GGGAUGAAGGCCUUCGGGUUGUAAACCGCUUUCAGCAGGGAAGAAGCGAAAGUGACGGUACCUGCAGAAGAAGCACCGGCUAACUAUGUGCCAGCAGCCGCGGUAAUACAUAGGGUGCAAGCGUUGUCCGGAAUUAUUGGGCGUAAAGAGCUCGUAGGUGGUUCGUCACGUCGGAUGUGAAACUCUGGGGCUUAACCCCAGACCUGCAUUCGAUACGGGCGAGCUUGAGUAUGGUAGGGGAGUCUGGAAUUCCUGGUGUAGCGGUGGAAUGCGCAGAUAUCAGGAGGAACACCAAUGGCGAAGGCAGGACUCUGGGCCAUUACUGACACUGAGGAGCGAAAGCGUGGGGAGCGAACAGGAUUAGAUACCCUGGUAGUCCACGCCGUAAACGGUGGGCACUAGUUGUGGGGACCUUCCACGGUCUCUGCGACGCAGCUAACGCAUUAAGUGCCCCGCCUGGGGAGUACGAUCGCAAGAUUA
rnacentral:rRNA from 1 species